AAAGCAGGAAUUUCAUUUCCCCACAGCCCUGUGAUACUCAUUGGGAUUCAGGCUUCCUGGAGAUCAUACAGCAAAUGGAACCAAAUUGCACCAGAAGAAUGGAUACAUAACUUCACAGUAAUUUCWAUAGCCCAGAACAAAUUGAUGCAGAAGUGUCUGGCCAGGUUCAUUGGAUUUUCACCCCAGUAGCAAGAAGAUGUACUAUUCCCAUGGCUGACAUCCUGAACCUCUACCUCCUUUUCAAACUAAUCCUUGSUCAUUAUUUUGCAUGAGAAGAGUUUGAGUGUACCUUGUCACUAACUCCAAAGUGAUCAAAGCAUGUCUUGGGAUUGUGGAGAAAUUGAAAAGACCUAACAAGAAGAAGC